GGUUCUAUAGAGUAGUGGUUAGCACAUCUGCUUUACAUGCAGAAGGUCCUGGGUUCCCGCCCCAGUGGAUCA
rnacentral:tRNA from 1 species